UGUGUGUGUGUGUGUGUGUGUGUGUGUGUGUGUGUGUGUGUGUGUCACACACAAUGUAUUAUAUUGAUGUAGGAUUUGUGACCUUUCUUGUUGUUUUGUUAGAUGUUGUCAUGUUUUUACUGUUGGAUUUAAAUUGUGCCCUGCCUAGGGACUGCAGAUGUAAAGUAGCCCCAUGGCUAAGUCUGGUAAAUUGCAUCAAAUUGUACAUGGUCCCUAACAAAUAAAAUGAAUAAUAAUAAAAAU